rnacentral:rRNA from 1 species
CGAGAUAACUCUCUCUAAGGAACUCGGCAAAAUGACUCCGUAACUUCGGGAGAAGGAGUGCCUUAUUUAUAAGGUUGCAAUAACAAGAUCCAAGCAACUGUUUAUCAAAAACACAGGUCUCCGCUAAGUCGUAAGACGAUGUAUGGGGGCUGACGCCUGCCCAGUGCCAGAAGGUUAAAGAAGUUGGUUAGUGUAUGCGAAGCUGAUGACUGAAGCCCUGGUGAACGGCGGCCGUAACUAUAACGGUCCUAAGGUAGCGAAAUUCCUUGUCGGGUAAGUUCCGACCCGCACGAAAGGCGUAAUGAUUUGGAUACUGUCUCGGAGAGAGGCUCGGUGAAAUAGACUUGUCUGUGAAGAUGCGGACUACCUGCACCAGGACAGAAAGACCCUAUGAAGCUUUACUGUAACUUGAAAUUGGAAUUGGACUUUGCUUGCGCAGUAUAGGUGGGAAGCGUUGAAGAUAUUCUUGCGGGAGUAUUGGAGCUAUCAGUGAGAUACCACUCUUGUAAUGUUAGAUUUCUAACUUUGAACCAUAAUCUGGUCAAAGAACAGUUUCAGGUGGGCAGUUUGACUGGGGCGGUCGCCUCCCAAAUGGUAACGGAGGCGUACAAAGGUUUCCUCUGAACGGAUAGAAAUCGUAUCUAGAGUGUAAAGGCAUAAGGAAGCUUGACUGUGAGACCUACAAGUCGAGCAGGGACGAAAGUCGGUCUUAGUGAUCUGACGGUACUGAGUGGAAAGGCCGUCACUCAACGGAUAAAAGUUACUCUAGGAUUACAGGCUGAUCUCCCCCAAGAGUUCACAUCGACGGGGAGGUUUGGCACCUCGAUGUCGGCUCAUCGCAUCCUGGGGCGGUAGUACGUCCCAAGGGUUGGGCUGUUCGCCCAUGAAAGCGGUACGCGAGCUGGGUUCAGAACGUCGUGAGACAGUUCGGUCCACAUCCGGUGUAGGCGUUAGAAUAUUGAGAGGAGCCUUCUUUAGUACGAGAGGACCGAGAAGGACACACCGCUGGUGUACCAGUUAUCGUGCCAACGGUAAACGCUGGGUAGCUAUGUGUGGAGUGGAUAACCGCUGAAAGCAUCUAAGUGGGAAGCCCACCUCAAGAUGAGUAUUCUCAUCACUAUAAGUGAGUAAGGUCACGGUAAGACUAACCGUUUGAUAGGCAUUAAGUGUAAAUGUAGUAAUGCAUGUGCUGAGAUGUCCUAACAGACCGAGGACUUGA